rnacentral:lncRNA from 1 species
AGUAGUUCGAGGAGACCAAACAGCGGCUAGACAGUGCUAUGUUACAAGCAUCCGAGGCAUGAGUGCUGACGUCAUGCAACUCGCAGACCUGAAGCUCGAGCUCGAGCCAAGGGGUAGAUUGGCCCUCGUUGAAGAAUUGGAAGUGGUCGAGCUUGAGCACGAAAAAGCUGUUACUAUUGGUCGGGAUCUGAAGGCCAACCUCCGAGAGAAAGUCAUCAGUUGUCUGUCCCACAACAUUGAUGUUUUUGCAUGGAAGGUGGGGGAUAUGCCAGGGAUAGACCUAGAAGUAGCUGUCCAUAAACUUAAUAUCAGCCCAAGGGCCAAAUCUGUUAAGCAAAGGAAGGGACAGUUUGCACCGAAAAGACGUGUGGUCAUUCAGGAAGAAGUCGGCAAAUUGUUGGGAGCGGGGUUCAUAAGGGAAGUCCAAUACCCCGAUUGGCUCGCUAAUGUUGUUCUGGUGAAAAAGCCCAGAGGUAAGUGAAGGGUCUGCAUUGACUUCAUAGAUCUGAAUAAGGCAUGCCUAAAGGACAGCUACCCGCUACCUAGGAUCGAUAAUAUUGUGGAUAGCACAUUCGGACAUAAGCUGUACAGCUUCUUAGAUGCAUUCUCAGGGUAUCAUCAAAUCCUCAUGGCCAAAGAAGACCAAGAGAAGACUUCAUUCAUGGCUGAUUUAGCCAUAUAUUGCUAUAGGGUGAUGCCAUUUGGGUUGAAAAAUGCUAGGGCAACAUAUCAGAGGCUCAUCAACAAAGUCUUCGUCGAUUUGAUAGGGAAGAACAUCGAGGCCUAUGUGGAUGACAUGGUUGUGAAAAGUAAGAAGGUGG